rnacentral:rRNA from 1 species
AUACGAGGGGGCUAGCGUUGCUCGGAAUGACUGGGCGUUAAAGGGCGUGUAGGCGGUUUUGACAGUCAGAUGUGAAAUCCCCGGGCUUAACCUGGGAAGCUGCAUUUGAGACGUUAAGACUAGAGUGUGAGAGAGGGUUGUGGAAUUCCCAGUGUAGAGGUGAAAUUCGUAGAUAUUGGGAAGAACACCGGUGGCGAAGGCGGCAACCUGGCUCAUUACUGACGCUGAGGCGCGAAAGCGUGGGGAGC